rnacentral:misc_RNA from 1 species
AAGUCGUAACAAGGUCUCCGUAGGUGAACCUGCGGAGGGAUCAUUACUGAGUUAUUACAACUCCAACCCAUGUGAACUUACCACUGUUGCCUCGGCGCAGAGGCCUACUGAGGACUUGUUCCUCGGCGGGUGUAUGCGCCGGUGGACUACUAAACUCUUGUUAAUUUUGUUAUUCUGAAUAAAAAACUUAAUAAGUUAAAACUUUCAACAACGGAUCUCUUGGUUCUGG